rnacentral:rRNA from 1 species
UACGUAGGGUCCGAGCGUUGUCCGGAAUUAUUGGGCGUAAAGGGCUCGUAGGCGGUCUGUCGCGUCGGGAGUGAAAACUCAGGGCUUAACCCUGAGCCUGCUUCCGAUACGGGCAGACUAGAGGUAUGCAGGGGAGAACGGAAUUCCUGGUGUAGCGGUGGAAUGCGCAGAUAUCAGGAGGAACACCGGUGGCGAAGGCGGUUCUCUGGGCAUUACCUGACGCUGAGGAGCGAAAGUGUGGGGAGCGAACAGG